rnacentral:rRNA from 1 species
CAGCCGCCGCGGGAAUACAGAGGGUGCGAGCGUUAAUCGGAUUUACUGGGCGUAAAGCGUGCGUAGGCGGCUAAUUGAGUCGGAUGUGAAAUCCCCGAGCUUAACUUGGGAAUUGCAUUCGAUACUGGUUAGCUAGAGUGUGGGAGAGGAUGGUAGAAUUCCAGGUGUAGCGGUGAAAUGCGUAGAGAUCUGGAGGAAUACCGAUGGCGAAGGCAGCCAUCUGGCCUAACACUGACGCUGAGGUACGAAAGCAUGGGGAGCAAACAGGAUUAGAGACCCCCGUAGUCCCUGUCUCUUAUAC